UAUCAUGAAGGAAGCAAUGGUUCAGAAAGAAAAAGCAGCUCCUGAGAUUACUAGGAAGCUGGAGAGACAGAAGAGACCCAAGGAAGGAAAAGAAGCAACUGGCGGCCCUUGCCCUGGUGUCAGAAGACAGCAGCUGUAGAGGGCUGAAAACCCCCAAAAGAAGCAAAAGCCAAAGCCCCAGGGGUCUCCUCAGGAGAAUAAAAUGGGAGACUCGUCUCUCCAAACCCAAGAAGAAGAAAUCUUUCCCAAGGAGGAGCAGGCUAGUGGUGAUCCUGGGGAGACAGCUGGCAGCACAUCCAAGGAGGAAACAGUUAGUGACCCUGAGGGAGAGGCAAUAGGAGCAUUGCCAAGAAAAAGAGGAGAUUCUCUUCCAAGGAGAAACCAUCAGCAAUGGGCCUGGAGAGGCCACUGGUAGCAAGAUCAGCUCCAAGAAGAAGAAAGAGUCCCACAAACCAUCCCAGGAAGAUCAGAAUGAACAU
rnacentral:lncRNA from 10 species